rnacentral:rRNA from 1 species
CGCUAGUAAUCGCGGAUCAGAAUGCCGCGGUGAAUACGUUCCCGGGUCUUGUACACACCGCCCGUCACACCAUGGGAGUCAGCAACGCCCGAAGUCAGUGACCCAACCUUUAAGGAGGGAGCUGCCGAAGGCGGGGCAGGUGACUGGGGUGAAGUCGUAACAAGGUAUC